AUACUGCAGUCGAGCGGACAGAUGGGAGCUUGCUCCCUGAUGUUAGCGGCGGACGGGUGAGUAACACGUGGGUAACCUGCCUGUAAGACUGGGAUAACUCCGGGAAACCGGGGCUAAUACCGGAUGCUUGUUUGAACCGCAGGUUCAAACAUAAAAGGUGGCUUCGGCUACCACUUACAGAUGGACCCGCGGCGCAUUAGCUAGUUGGUGAGGUAACGGCUCACCAAGGCAACGAUGCGUAGCCGACCUGAGAGGGUGAUCGGCCACACUGGGACUGAGACACGGCCCAGACUCCUACGGGAGGCAGCAGUAGGGAAUCUUCCGCAAUGGACGAAAGUCUGACGGAGCAACGCCGCGUGAGUGAUGAAGGUUUUCGGAUCGUAAAGCUCUGUUGUUAGGGAAGAACAAGUGCCGUUCAAAUAGGGCGGCACCUUGACGGUACCUAACCAGAAAGCCACGGCUAACUACGUGCCAGCAGCCGCGGUAAUACGUAGGUGGCAAGCGUUGUCCGGAAUUAUUGGGCGUAAAGGGCUCGCAGGCGGUUUCUUAAGUCUGAUGUGAAAGCCCCCGGCUCAACCGGGGAGGGUCAUUGGAAACUGGGGAACUUGAGUGCAGAAGAGGAGAGUGGAAUUCCACGUGUAGCGGUGAAAUGCGUAGAGAUGUGGAGGAACACCAGUGGCGAAGGCGACUCUCUGGUCUGUAACUGACGCUGAGGAGCGAAAGCGUGGGGAGCGAACAGGAUUAGAUACCCUGGUAGUCCACGCCGUAAACGAUGAGUGCUAAGUGUUAGGGGGUUUCCGCCCCUUAGUGCUGCAGCUAACGCAUUAAGCACUCCGCCUGGGGAGUACGGUCGCAAGACUGAAACUCAAAGGAAUUGACGGGGGCCCGCACAAGCGGUGG
rnacentral:rRNA from 1 species